rnacentral:tRNA from 1 species
GAGUUUGGCUGGAGCUAGUGAGUGCUGCUAACUACUUACUACCGCGGUUCGAUCCGUGGCCCACUCG